CUCGCUCUCUCUCUCGCUCCACCCCAACACGAGCGCGCCUAUCUCGCCCCUCACAGAAGCUCCUCCCAUCUGACUGUAAAUACCAAUUUGUGUAUAGAAUGAUUUUUUUUUUUUUUUACUUCGAGGAGAUGGGAGCUAUGGCGUGAAGGAGAGGAGGAGGAUGAGGAGGAGGAGUGUGAUUGGUGGAUGAGGGGGUGGAGGUGGAGGGGGGAGGGGUGCGUCCCUGAACUUGUACAUUACAAUAAGGAAAUGACGUCACAGUCGCACUCGGCGACAUGGAGAAAAAGAGGAAAUGGGGGGGCUCGCGGAGAAACCGCAACGGGACAUUUGUACAUUGAAAAGAGAAAAAAAGCAUAUUUAUAUAUUUUCUAUACAGUGUUUUACUGAUGAUUAUGCCAUUGAGGUUUGUAUUAAUUUGUAAAUUUUUUAAGAAAAAGGUUUUAUUAUAAAAUCGUCACAAAUAUAAAGUUGCCUUAAACCAGGAGAAAAUACGUUUUACCUUCCUACAAGGCUGAAGGACAUGUAAAAGCACAUGAAAAUGGACAUAGACGCGAACAAUCGGAUACCAAAUGCCAAAAAAAAAUCCCACCACACUACACAGCUAACGGUAAAACACAACGGCAGGGCUCCCCCUGGUGGAGGCUGCCGGGUGCUGCAGUACUCUGCUCGUCAAUAUGGCAGCCAUUUUGUCAGUACAGGAGCAUUAUUUCAAUGCUUAGCCCAUACUAUGGGUUAGGAACAACUUGUCAAGCCCCUUGUUAUCAGUGGCAAAGAAUGUGGUACUGGUACUUAUUUGUAUCUUCAUUUUAAACAACUUUUUCCGAUUUAGAAAAAUGGAUUUGUAGGAACUUGUCUGUAUUUUUUCUUUUUCUAUUUUGGAAUUGUAGAGUUGAGCCUAUUCUUUUUGUUUCUGGAUCGAGUUCACAUCCAGAGCAGUCACACUACGGCACAUAUUUAUUUGCUUAUUUCAUCACUACGCGUUGGAUGUCAUGGCCGAGGGACGAUUAUAAACACGUGUACGAUGUAUUCUAAGUCCAAAGUCAAGAGGUGGUACAGGCUAUUUAUGCCUCGUUCCGUAUCCAUAGCAACGCUGCCUGGCUCACAUCUUCAAUGCCCAGUCUUUUUUUUACGCACAGGUGGAAACGCUCAAACCAAAACGUAGCCUUUCAUGUUCUUCAUAUUUGGUUUGGAGUUUUUAUAUAUUAUAUUUUUUAACACUACAAUGCCUGACCGCAGCUGUAGACGACCCCUGGCCCAUAGGUCAAGGUUCAUAGACCCUGGGACAGGUUAGGGGUGCUUUCAACAACCUCACUACAUCUAAACUCAUCACCUGUUGGCUUUUUUUUGUUUUAUUUUUUUUACGGACCAGUUCUCGUGCCUGUGCAGCAUCUCGACCCCAUAUCGAUGGUUUUCAUGGUUUUUAUCUUCAAGGAAAAAAAAAUCCAGUGCCCACUAAAUGCUAUAGUAUUUUUGUACCACAUAUUGUGUAGAUAACAUAUUUAUAAGCUAUAUAGAGAAUCAUUGUAAAUCUAUCCAUUGAGUUCUUGCAGUACUUUCUUUCAUUCCGUCUUUUUUUUGUUUUUGUUUUCAUUUUCUUUUCUUUUUUUAUAUGCCUCAUUAUAUUUUUCUACAAAAAAAAAAUGAAUCACUACAAAAGUACGGCGACAAUCUCAAAACAGGUCCGGUGUGUGGGGAAAAAAAACACAAAAGCAUAUCCCAAGUGAACCUGUUUUUAUUAUUCAGUUCUGUUUCUAUUCUCUGCUUGUUUGCUCGUUUCUAUAAAACACAACCUGAGCCCUCUCUGGUCACCGACGGGACGAGUGUCGCGCCGAAUCGCUUCCUUCUUUUACGUGAGGAGGGACCGGGUCAGCGCUCCUUCUCUCGGCCAAUGAGAGCAGGGGGCCCGAACUUGUGGCCUUGUUGUUCAUUUUAGGAAGAAACGAGAAAAAGGGGCCAAAGGGAGGGAAAGGGCCCCUCCGAAUCACCUGUGCUGACGUUUGCCGUUUUCGCCUUGCCUUUUCUUUGCUCGUGUCAACAAACAAAACAAAUCAAAAAUAACCGCUAUGUCCCGUUUUCUGUUUUAUCGUGCCGCUUUGCGACGACAACUUCUGUCGUCAACGACAACGAAAAAUAAAUGAAAUAUAUGUGUUUAUAUGUAUUUCUUUGCUUUUUGUUAACAAAGCGAUUGCGUUGUCAAAGGUGUUUCGUCGCGUGAGGAUUGUUGCAUUGUUCCUCUGAAGUUUUUAAUCGUUACGUUUUUUCGGGGAGUUUCGGAAUGGGUUCGCGGUUCUCCAGGGUACAAGACUCGAAGUCGGUGUAGCAUUGGCAUCGCACAAACGUCGCCACUAACGGGAAACGCAACAAAAUACACCAGCAUCGUUUUGACAAUCUUAAAGGGUUAUAUGUUGAUGGAUAAGGUUUUUGUAUACACACCGCUAUAUACUUACUGAUGUUUGGAACGCUCUAUAUCAUCGAUUUUUACCUACAAAUGUAUCUUUUGAAAGACAGUACUGUUUUUGAAUCGUAAAAGACAAGUUUCAUCUCUUUGUUUUGUUUUUUGUUAUUUUCCUCAAAAUAUCAAACUUUGUGCGCGUACUGCGUAGGUGAACAGUAAUGCGCUCAGGGCCAACGGCAAAGCUACAAUCGUGACAGCGGUGGAUUUGUGCGGACGUCCCAGUCCGUGCAGCAGACACCCUUGUCAACAGUGCAUUACAAGCCAACGAAGUCUUUACAAUCAGUCGCCUCAUAUCUCUGUACGCGUCUCAAGGCUGUGUCUGCAUGACCUUUGACCUGUGCCUCCCAAGCACGUCAUUACAACCUUAUCUGGAGACGUUCUCAACCUCUAACUGCACUUUACACAGUACUUUAGCUGAUUUGUUGUUUAUUUCCGGUACAAUACACAACACACUACCACGUGUGGGGAAUACUACAUGUGUUCCGAUGAUGCAGAAGCAGUCUUUUUGGAAUCGUAAUGUGUGGGGUUUGGAGAAAGGGAAGGCUUGUGUUUAGAAUACAAAGACAUAAUGUGGUUAUUAAAAGAUUGGAUUUGUCAAAAGCAAGAGCAAAAGCUAAAAUGGAAAGCAGAAAGCUGAAGGUAAACAAGCUAUUUUUCCCGCCUCACGGUUGAACUUGUUCUAACGCGGCCAAUUCCUGGGUUCGGAAAACGUUUUACACAUACAAUCGGAACGUUUCAAAAAGGUCAAGAAAAGAGAAACAAAAUGUAUGGAAUGGCCUUGGUCGGUAGGUGACCACAUUUGGGAUGGGUAAAAAAAGCACUUUUUCUCUUUGUAUGGAGUGAUGAUUACAUUUGGCGACAGAAAAUUUCUGAAAUAUUGCCAUCCAUCCAUUUUGUAACCAUGGUAGUCUGCAAGGAUGUUUUACAAGGUGACCAACAUUUGGUUCUUCAAAUUCAUCCUAUAUUACCCCCACUUGGUUUUUGUCUGUUUUAUUUUUCUACAAUUGACUGCUUGCCAUAUAGAGAAUGGACCUGUACAGCCUGUUCAGAUAUCACCAUAAGCUGUUGUAACAAAUGAAAUGCUGACUUUUUUUUUUUUUUUUUCUAAAUACAAGUGAGUGAACCUCGAUCUUGUUUGUGUCAUUUUGCUGCUCAUGAAGAUAAAUGCUUUUCUAAUUCUGAGGGAAAGAUAUUGGGGACCUUUUAUAGUUAAAAAUAUAAUAAUAUACUACUUGUAGCUCGAGGUAAACCGAGCACCAAUCAUUAUAUCUAUAUACAAGUGCCAAUUUAU
ensembl:lncRNA